UAACGACUCUCGGCAACGGAUAUCUCGGCUCACGCAUCGAUGAAGAACGUAGCAAAAUGCGAUACUUGGUGUGAAUUGCAGAAUCCCGUGAACCAUCGAGUUUUUGAACGCAAGUUGCGCCCAAAGCCAUCCGGCUGAGGGCACGCCUGCCUGGGCGUCACGC
rnacentral:rRNA from 1 species